CCUGGAAUCCAACCAGUGACCCUUUGAUUCUCAGGCUGGCACUCAACCCAGUGAGCCACAGCAGCCAGGCUAGAAGGCAUUUUUCUUAAGAGUACUUAUAGUGACUUGCCUUUUUUCCAAAUGAAAGGUUGUGCUUAUAAUAACAUUUCAUUUCUUAGUUUUUUCAAUUUAGAGAUGCUUUCCCAUAAAAGAAUAAACUAACUCCACAAUGAUUUACUGUAAUUCAAGUUGUUAGCUUGAAAGAUCCCCCGGGGCCAGUGUUAUAGAGCAUAGGCUUGUCAAGUUCUGAAGUUUGGAAGGAGUGCCUUUGGAAUAGUGUGGGUGUGGUCAGACCCUAGUGGCUGGCCUUAUUAGAUUGAAGGUCUUUUACUUCAUGAACAGGCUACAAAAUGCUACAAAUAGUAUUAAU